GACGAACGCUGGCGGCGUGCCUAACACAUGCAAGUCGAGCGAAGUGAGUACUACGGUACGAACUUAGCGGCGGACGGGUGAGUAACGCGUGGACAAUCUACCCUGUAGACUGGGAUAACACCUCGAAAGGGGUGCUAAUACCGGAUAAUGUCGAGAAGCGGCAUCGCUUUUCGAAGAAAGGAGAGAAUCCGCUAUAGGAGGAGUCCGCGUCCCAUUAGCUAGUUGGUGAGGGUAACGGCCCACCAAGGCGACGAUGGGUAGCCGGCCUGAGAGGGUGAACGGCCACACUGGAACGGGGACACGGUCCAGACUCCUACGGGAGGCAGCAGUGGGGAAUAUUGUGCAAUGGGGGAAACCCUGACACAGCAACGCCGCGUGAGCGAAGAAGGCCUUCGGGUUGUAAAGCUCAAUAGUAUGGGAAGAUAAUGACGGUACCAUACGAAAGCCCCGGCUAACUACGUGCCAGCCGCCGCCGUAACAC
rnacentral:rRNA from 1 species